GAAGGGACCUAGCGUAGUUCGGAAUUACUGGGCUUAAAGAGCUCGUAGGUGGUCAGAAAAGUUGGUGGUGAAAUCCCAAGGCUUAACCUUGGAACUGCCACUAAAACUUUUUGACUGGAGUAUGAUAGAGGAAAGUGGAAUUUCUAGUGUAGAGGUGAAAUUCGUAGAUAUUAGAAAGAACGCCGAUUGCGAAGGCAACUUUCUGGAUCAUUACUGACACUGAGGAGCGAAAGCAUGGGUAGCGAAGAGGAUUAGAUACCCUCGUAGUCCAUGCCGUAAACGAUGUGUGCUAGACGUUGGAAACUUAGUUUUCAGUGUCGCAGCGAAAGCGUUAAGCACACCGCCUGGGGAGUACGACCGCAAGGUUAAAACUCAAAUGAAUUGACGGGGACCCGCACAAGUAGUGGAGCAUGUGGUUUAAUUCGAAGAUACGCGCAGAACCUUACCAACACUUGACAUGUUCGUCGCGACUCUAAGAGAUUAGAGUCUUCGGUUCGGCCGGACGAAACACAGGUGCUGCAUGGCUGUCGUCAGCUCGUGUCGUGAGAUGUUGGGUUAAGUCCCGCAACGAGCGCAACCCUUACUUUUAGUUGCUACCAUUUAGUUGGGCACUCUAAAAGAACUGCCAGUGAUAAGCUGGAGGAAGGUGGGGAUGACGUCAAGUCCUCAUGGCCCUUACGUGUUGGGCUACACACGUGCUACAAUGGUACUUACAGUGAGAAGCGAAGAGGCGACUCUAAGCCAGUCCCAAAAAAGUACCUCAGUUCGGAUUGUACUCUGCAACUCGAGUACAUGAAGCUGGAAUUACUAGUAAUCGCGGAUCAGCGCGCCGCGGUGAAUACGUUCCCGGGUCUU
rnacentral:rRNA from 1 species